CUCCCAUGCAGUUCAAGUUUAACAUAUCUUAUUUUUUUUUGUCUUUGUUUAUAGAGAGGGGGUUUCGCCAUGUUGCCCGGGCUGGUCUUGAAAUCCUGAACUCAAGUGAUACGCCUGCCUCAGCCUCCCAAAGUGCUGGAAUUACAGGCAUGAGCCACCACACCAGGCCUAGCUUAAAAUAUCUUUGAAAAGAAUAUUUUCAAGUAUGUUAGCAAGUGUUUCUGAAUGGAAUGUUUGUGCAAAGUAUAUCAGCAAAACGAAGCCACAGUCUUAGCCACACUGGACGUCAUUGUCAAUGAAGAGAAGACUAAACAGGGAGUGGGAGUAAAAGCAACACCUGCUCCUGAAGAACCAACUAUCAGAGUCUUCAUCUUUCCCAAGGAAAAGCAUAUACAUUUCUCUUGGCUUUCUGCUGUACUCCGGGCUGGCGGUUAUCAGCCCUGCUGCUGUGAUGGUCAACAUUGA
rnacentral:lncRNA from 1 species